rnacentral:rRNA from 1 species
CUCUUGGGGCUUCGGUUUCAAGGGAGUGGCGCACGGGUGAGUAGCGCGUGGGAACCUGCCCUGUUGUGGGGGAUAACCGAGGGAAACUUCGGCUAAUACCGCAUACGCCGGUUGUCUUGAGAGAGAUGGCCGGGAAAGAUUGAUCGCAGCAGGAGGGGCCCGCGUCGGAUUAGGUAGUUGGUGGGGUAACGGCCUACCAAGCCUGUGAUCCGUAGCUGGUCUGAGAGGAUGAUCAGCCACACUGGGACUGAGACACGGCCCAGACUCCUACGGGAGGCAGCAGUGGGGAAUAUUGGACAAUGGGCGCAAGCCUGAUCCAGCAAUGCCGCGUGGGUGAUGAAGGCCCUAGGG